rnacentral:lncRNA from 1 species
GGGUCUUGCAGAUACCUCAGGACUUCAUUUCAAUGAAGCGGUUCUCCACGAUGUCAAUAUGGCCCACGCUGUGCUUGCCUGCGACUUCAUUCAGCCACACGAGGAUGCAGGAGGUGUCCAGGCCGGCACUGUAGGCCAGAACCAUGGAGCCUUUGCUGAACAUAGCAUCUGGGAUUGGAGGUGCAAUUCCUGGUGCCUGGAAUCUGUCUUCAUGGCUCAGUGAACCACUCGGGGCCUGGGGAGCAAAGGCAGGCAACAGAGCAGGGCCCACGUCUUUCUUAUUGAUCACUAAACGAAGGCAGACAUCAACAUUUCUGGAUUCAGGGUCCAGAGUGCUCACCAUUACACCAUGGAACCUCAAACCAGACAUCAACGUCUCUAAUGAGUCUUUCUUUAUUCCAAUAAAAGAAAAUGGUCAGUGAGAGGUUGGUUUAGAUGAUUUGGGAAAAGGUAAUAGAAGUCCUGUUCACAAGGUUGAUACUGUGUACCCCCAGCAAGUUAUGUCACCUCUUCUGGUCCUUGGUUUUAUCAUUUCUUUUUUUCUUUUUUUAAAGAGUAGUCAAGUCCCAACAAUCAAUUGAGAUAACUCACUACCACUGGACCAGCUGGUUUAUAAUUUGUUGUUAAGUCAGGGAGCUGGACUAAGAUAUUUUUGCAGAUCUGUGAGUUUAUAAUUCGAUGACAUAUAACAUUAAAACUGAAGAAACUGAAUACAUCCAUUUAUUCUCCGAACUAUAUAAAAUAAGCCAUGAUAAAAAUAAAGGCAGAUUGCUUAUCAUGAAAGGACCAGUAAAAAAAGAUUUUUUUUAAUGAAGGAAAAAAAAAAAAAAGGCAGACUGACACUCUACCCAACAGCAAAAAAUCCUUUCUUCUCAAGUAUACGUGGAACACCCUCCAGGACAGACCAUAUGCUUGACCAUAAAACAAAGCUCAAUACAUUUUAAAGAGGAUUGAAAUAAUACAAAUAUGUUCUCUGUUCACAGUAGACUGAAAUUAGAAAUAAUGAAAAAAAAAUUGCGAACUCACAAAUAUAUAGAAAUUAAACAACCCAUGCCUAAAUAAUCAAAGGGUCACAGGAGAAUAAAAAGGAAAAUCAGAAAAUACUUCCAGAUGAAUGAAAAGGAAAACCAAAAUGUGUGGGAUGCAGCUAAAAUAGUCCUUAGAGAAAAACUGAGAGCUAUACAUGCUUAUAUAAAAAAGAAAGAUCUCAAAACAAGAAACUAAACUUCUACUUUAAGACACUAGAAAAAGAAGAGCCACCUAAACCUUAAGUAAACAGAAGGAAGGAAAGAAUAAAGAGCAGACAGUAAAGAAAUAAAGAACGGAAAAACAAUUGAAAAAAAUUAAUAAAACUGCCAGGCAUGGUGGCUCACACCUGCAAUCCCAGCACUUUGGGAGGCUGAGGCAGGCAGAUCACAAGGUCAGGAGUUAGAGAUCAGCCUGACUAACAUGGUGAAACCCCGUCUCUAUAAAAAUACAAAAAUUAGCUGGGCAUGGUGGCACACACCUGUAAUCCCAGCUACUCGGGAGGCUGAGGCAGGAGAAUCGCUUGAACCUGGAAGUCGGAGGUUGCAGUGAGCCAAGACUGCACCAUUGCACUCCAGCCUGGGCAACAGAGCGAGACCCCAUCUCAAAAACAAAAAAUAAAACCAAAAGUUGAUUCUCUGAAAAGACAAAGAAAAUUGACAAAUCUUUAGCUAGACUGACCAAGAAAAAGAGAGGGAAAGCUCAAGUUACUAGAAUCAGAAAAAGGGACAUUAUUACUAGCCUUACAGAAAUAAAAAGGAUUAUAAAGGGACAUUAUGAAUAAUUAUAUGCCAAUAAAUUAGAUAAGUUAGACAAAAUAAAAUUCCUAGAAAAAAAUAAACUAUCACAACUGACUCAAAAUGAAAUAGACAAUCUGAAAAGUCCUAGAACUAAUGAAGAGAUUGAAUUAAUAAUAAAACAACUACCCACCAACACUCCUGCUCCACCACCCCCCGGCCCAGGUGGCUUUAUACCACUGAAUUCUACUAAACAUUUAAUGAUAAUUUUUUUUUUUGAGACGGAAUUUCGCUCUUGUUGCCCAGGCUGGAGUGCAAUGGCGCGACUGGCUCAUUGCAACCUCUGCCUCCCAGGUUCAAGUGAUUCUCCUGCCUCAGCCUCCCGAGUAGCUGAGAUUAUAGGCAUGCACCACCAUCCCAGCUAAUUUUGUAUUUUUAGUAGAGACGGGGUUUCUCCAUGUUGGUCAGGCUGGUCUCAAACUCCUGACUUCAGGUGAUCCACCUGCCUCGGCCUCCCAAAGAGCUGGGAUUACAGGCGUGAGCCACCACGCCAGGCCCUAAAGAAGAAUUAAUAUUAGUUGUUUUUUUUUUUAGACGGAGCCUUGCUCUGUCGCCAGGCUGGAAUGUGGUGGCGCGAUCUCGGCUCAGCAACCUCCGCCUCCCAGGUUCAAGCGAUUCUCCUGCAUUAGCCUCCCAAGUAGUUGGGACUACAUGUGCACAUCACCACGCCUGGCUAAUUUUUUGUAUUUUUAAUAGAGACAGGGUUUCACCAUGUUGGCCAAGCUGGUCUCGAACUCCUGACCUCAAAUGAUCUGCCCGCCUCCGCCUCCCAAAGUGCGGGGAUUACAGGCAUAAGCCACCGCGCUUGGCCUGGAUUACUUUUAAUAAGUUAUAUCUCUAGUUCUCAGUCUUUAAUUGGAGGGUGGAUCUCUUUGAGGAUUGGAUGACAUUGCUCCCUAAAAAAUCCUUUUGUUUGUUUUAUUUGUUUUUGUCUUUUCAGAAAUUUAUUUUUGACCUUCUCCCUCCCAUGCAGAUGUGCCCUAAAAAUUCACAGCUAACAUACAAGCAAAUUUUUAGGGGGCUCACAUGCCCUUGAUUUCCCCCAUGGUCCCCUUAGAGACCUAUGGUCCUCUUAGAGACUCCAGUUUAGAUGAAUGUUGUUUACUUACAAACGGAGACUUAAAAGCCAAACUGGCAGCAAUGGUGAGAGCAGGAUCCAAACAGCGGAAGAUAG